AGGGGCGUAGCUCAGUUGGUAGAGCACCGGUCUCCAAAACCGGGUGUCGGGGGUUCGAGUCCCUCCGCCCCUGCCA
rnacentral:tRNA from 5 species